UCUUAAUUAGGAACUGGAAUGAAUGGUUGGAUGAAGGAGAAACUGUCUUAUAUUGAUUAUUUAGAAUUUUAUUUUUAAGUUAAAAAGCUUAAAUUUUAGUUAAAGACGAGAAGACCCUUUAGAGUUUUAUAAUAAUAUAUUUUGGAUUUUUAGGAAUAUAUUAAUCAAUAAUUUAAUUAUUAUUUUGUUGGGGUGAUGGAAAAAUUUAAAAAACUUUUUUUUACAAUUAACACAUUUAAGUGAUUUAUUGAUCCAUUGUUAAUGAUCAUAAGUUUAAAUUACCUAAGGGAUAACAGCGUGAUCUUUAUGGAGAGUUCUUAUCGAUAUAAGGGUUUGCGACCUCGAUGUUGGAUUAAAAUUUAUUUUUGGUGCAAAAGCUGAAUAAUUAGGUCUGUUCGACCUUUAAAAUUUUACAUGAUCUGAGUUUAAACCGGUGUGAGCCAGGUUGGUUUCUAUCUUGAUUAAUUAUUGAUUAUUCUAGUACGAAAGGACCGAAUUUUUGUAAUACUUGUUUUUAUUUGAAUAUUAAUGUUACUUUGGCAGAUUAGUGCUUUAAAUUUAGAAUUUAACUAUGUAUUUUUUAAUACAAGUA
rnacentral:rRNA from 1 species